rnacentral:lncRNA from 1 species
UGUCGAAUUUGUCGAUGUUAGUACUCUUACAAUAACCCAUCCAGAGUCCAACGACACUUUAUGUCCUCGUCCCACAUCAAGAAUAUGAACGCAUUCGAACGACAUCUGACUCAUGAGGAUUCAAGAAAACUCUAAAUUUACCACCCACCUCCUUAAGAUGGUUGUUUCAUGUAAUAUACCUUUUUUUCACUGUGGGAACCCCAAGGUCUCGAAAUUUAUGAAGAAAUAUGUUGAUAGAACUGUGCCUAAUUAGAAGGAUUAUACAUAGAUUAAUGAAGGUUGUCAGCAAGGAUGUAAACACCAAAAUUGAAGGAUAUUUUCAUAGCUGUUGAUGAGACGAAAUACAAUAUGUAACGAUCAGUGACAGCAAUAAUGAUUGGAGGGCUGUUUCUUGGGUCGUCAUUAUCUAAUCAACACGAAAGACAUAAAAGUUGCUAAUUCUAUUAAUAACGCAAAUUUUGUCGUUUAAAUUAUCAACAAACUCUUGGCUUGGACUUUGAUGAAAAUGAGUUUUUAGCUUUUAUGACGGAUGGAGUGUCCUACUCUAAAAAAAAGGUGGCAACGUCCUUGAAAAAAGCUACCUCCAAUUGAAAAAUACUACUUCUGUAGCUCAUGGACUCCUUAGCGUGGCUGAACUUGGACGUAAAAAAAUCCUAAGACAAACGAGAGCUUAUUUCAGAAGUUAAAAAAAUGUUUUUGAAUCCGAGGCAAACAAAACGUAACUUCACUACUUCUUACCAAAUUUCGUUACCCUCCAGUACAAGAACAACGCCAACUGUAUGCUCUCAAAGGGGAUCUUAGCUUCAAAUGGCGUGCAAGUAGUUUGUCUAACAUCAGUUUCUUCGAGUAUAUACAUACAUUGCUUCAUUGAUUCGAACAUGUUGAUAUCUUUGCAAAUGACUUAGUGGACGAUUCUACAUGGAAUUUGAAGUAUGAUAG